GGCAUCACAGUAGUGACAUUCUCACUGAAGUCUUCUCAGAUGACAUAAUUCAUAGAUUAAUCUCCAGUGAAAGUUCAUGAAGAACUGAUGCAUCCUAGCUCCCAGUGAUGUGAGUUUGGGGAGUCACACUGGGUCACCUGCAUACACACAGGUUUAAAAAGAAGCCUGAUGUCAGCCUGACAGCCUCUGUUACCCCAGCCAUCCUGUCCCUACUUUGUGAUGGACUAAAAAGAGCUCGCAUUCUUUAAGUUUUCUGGAACUCUCCCCUGUCCACGGGUUACUGAAAAAUCAACAUCAGCUGCCAAAAAAGCUUCUCAGCCAGCUGCUUCAAAAUUCCUCAAUGCAAAUUACCCAGAACUUCUGAUUUAAGUGGACCUGAAAAACUGAAGAACCCCAAAAUAGACCAAACUAAAUACAAGUGCCAAACUGAUUAGAACUUGGAGUUUGCAGUGCCAAGCCUGCCCCACAUCAAGGAUCACUGGGGCACACAGGUUGCCUGAUCUGUUGCCUGCAAUGCCGAGCUGUAGAAAAAUUUCCCAGCUGAGCAGAAGUAGGCUGUGGAGGAGUCUGCAGUGAUGCGGUGGGCUGUGAUUCAGGUGCAGUGACAACCAUCUUGGCUGAACCAGUGACAGGCAGCUUUCCAGAGCUAAAACCAGUCUGCAGCUUCAACCAAAGAGGUGGCAGUGCUGCUGAGAGCUGUGUGACCUGGGACUUCCCUGCUGACCAGGUGGCUGCCACGGAGGUGACAAAAAAUCCAUUUUGAGGCUCGCAUCCAUGGCUGCUCCUUCCUAUCCAACCAACUACAGCUUCUGAGCCCUCAGCUAAGGAAAACCUCCAUAUGAUUGUUUUAGUCUUCACCCAAGAUUGGGGUAGGCUGAGGGGCAGGGAACAGGAAGAACCUUCCAGAUUGGAUCAGCAUCAAGGGGAGCAGAAAGGUUUUUCAGCCCGUGGAGAAUGACUUCAAGUUUUACUUAUCCCUCUUCUGUAGCAUGUUGUGGGACCAUCAGGAUGCACUGCAAGCUUCUCCCCAGCCACAGUGCUGCAGUUGUCAGGAAGAAUCCACCACUGAUGGGCAAGAAAUGUUCAGCGCAGACUGCUGCUUAGUUACAUGUCUUGCUCAAAGCAAUUACUAGUUGUGCCUACAAGAUAAAAUAAAAAACCUCAGCAGAGAAAGGGGCAAGAAGGAGGCUGAAAAAAAGGAAGAUGGAGAAGAGAAAAAAAAAAAAAAGGGCUGUUUGAGCAAAGCAAGGCACAAGUACUUCCUGUAUUCCACCCCUACAGCAGGAAGCCAAAAUGAACCAAGGCAGGAUGCUGAGGAUGUCCCCUGUCUGCUCAGUGUCCAGGCAUGGGGACAUAUGUCAUGGGCAGGCACAUGUGGACCAUCAAGUCAGAGCUUUGUAUGUGCUCAGUGAAACACUGACCUCUGAAGCCAGCAUCUCCAAACAGGGUCCUUGUGGGCAUUCUGUGCUGGAGUUACAGUCUGGUGUCUGUCUGCUGUAAUCAGGAGCUAUAUGAAACCAUGUCAUUAACCAGGUGUGAGGGAAAUGUACAGUGUAAUCCAGUAUAACACAAUCAUCAGCGCAUUUUGAUUCCCCUGCCCAUCACCUUCCAUAUUCAUCUUCAGCGACCUUUUGAUGAAAACAGCUGCUUAAAUUUAAUUA